rnacentral:rRNA from 1 species
GACAGAGGGUGCAAACGUUGUUCGGAAUUACUGGGCGUAAAGCGUGUGUAGGCGGCUAGGUAAGUCGGAUGUGAAAGCCCCGGGCUCAACUCGGGAAGUGCACUCGAUACUGCUUAGCUCGAGUACCGGAGAGGUUGGUGGAAUUCUCGGUGUAGAGGUGAAAUUCGUAGAUAUCGAGAGGAACACCGGUGGCGAAGGCGGCCAACUGGACGAGUACUGACGCUGAGACACGAAAGCGUGGGGAGCAAAC